rfam:Chryseobacterium arachidis strain DSM 27619 genome assembly, contig: Ga0131169_105
GAAGCAGUAAUUUAAAUGGAAAAAUAUCUCAAACCUCGAGAAAUUGCGAGUUCAAAUCUUGCCUGUUUCC